CACGCUCCCUUUUCUCUCCGCAGCCCAAGCGGCGCUCGGCGAGGCUGUCGGCCAAGCCCGCCCCUGCCAAGGUGGACGCGAAGCCGAAGAAGGCCGCGGGGAAGGAUAAACCAUCAGACAAAAAAGUGCAAACAAAAGGGAAGAGGGGAGCAAAGGGCAAACAGGCGGAGGUGGCUGACCAACAAACCACAGAUGUGCCUGCAGAAAAUGGAGAGGCUGAGAACCAGAGUCCUGCCUCUGAAGUCGAAGAGAAAGAAGCCAAGUCCGACUAACCAUCCAUCGUGUCUGUCAGUGUCCCCGCCUCCCUUCUUGUACAAUCCAGAGGAAUAUUUUUAUCAACUAUUUUGUAAAUGCGAGUUUUUUAGUAGCUCUAGAAACAUUUUUAAAAGGUGGGGGGAAGUCCCGCCUCAUCCCAUUUUUUAAGUGUAAAUGAUUUUUUUAAGAGGUUAAAUCACUUGCUGGUUGUUUAUUUUUUGGUACAACCAGAAAAUAGCAGGAUACUGAAUCAGGAGAGGCUGUGACUGUCUCGGGGGUCACCAUAACAUUCCGUAGAGGGGGCUAGUUUUAUAUCCUACAACACAAAGCAUACUUGGAGUCUUGGUCGUGCAUUUGUGUCUGGAAUAUUUUCAGUUAUUUCUGGUCUCGUGUUUCUAGUAGAACUGUAUCCUAAAAAACCACUCCUCGGUCCUUGCCCUGUCAGAACUGUCUCUGGUCAUGGCAGUCCAUUUUCCUAACAGUUGUGAUAAUGUGCUGUGAAAGAUUGAAAUUUUGAAUAUGUACUGUAUGUGGCAUAAAAUUGUGAGUCAGUGGAAUUAAGGAUUGUGAGCAUUUGAUUGUUAUGUGAGGUCUUAGGGAAAACUUGCCAAGCUUAGGAUGGAACAUCACUGGAAUAAGUUCAAAGAAACAAUAAUACAUGGCUCUUUUGGGUACGUGAACACAAUGUAUGACUCUUAGAAUUUGGGUCCAUGUUUUAAGAAUUGAAAUGUCUGUGUACUCAACCAAUAAAGUCUCAGUUGUGAAAGAGUA